GACGAACGCUGGCGGCGUGCCUAAUACAUGCAAGUCGAGCGCAGGAAACUGACGGAACUCUUCGGAGGGAAGGCAGUGGAAUGAGCGGCGGACGGGUGAGUAACACGUAAGGAACCUACCUCAAGGAUUGGGAUAACUCCGAGAAAUCGGAGCUAAUACCGGAUAGUUCAACGGACCGCAUGGUCCGCUGAUGAAAGGCGCCCCGGCGUCCCCUUGAGAUGGCCUUGCGGUGCAUUAGCUAGUUGGUGGGGUAACGGCCCACCAAGGCGACGAUGCAUAGCCGACCUGAGAGGGUGAUCGGCCACACUGGGACUGAGACACGGCCCAGACUCCUACGGGAGGCAGCAGUAGGGAAUCUUCCACAAUGGACGAAAGUCUGAUGGAGCAACGCCGCGUGAGUGAUGAAGGUUUUCGGAUCGUAAAACUCUGUUGUAAGGGAAGAACACGUACGAGAGGAAAUGCUCGUACCUUGACGGUACCUUACGAGAAAGCCACGGCUAACUACGUGCCAGCCGCCGCAGUAAUAC
rnacentral:rRNA from 1 species